UUGAUCAUGGCUCAGAGUCACGGCUGGUNAGUAGGCCUAACACAUGCAAGUCGAACGGCAGCACAGGAGAGCUUGCUCUCUGGGUGGCGAGUGGCGGACGGGUGAGGAAUACAUCGGAAUCUACUCUGUCGUGGGGGAUAACGUAGGGAAACUUACGCUAAUACCGCAUACGACCUACGGGUGAAAGCAGGGGAUCUUCGGACCUUGCGCGAUUGAAUGAGCCGAUGUCGGAUUAGCUAGUUGGCGGGGUAAAGGCCCACCAAGGCGACGAUCCGUAGCUGGUCUGAGAGGAUGAUCAGCCACACUGGAACUGAGACACGGUCCAGACUCCUACGGGAGGCAGCAGUGGGGAAUAUUGGACAAUGGGCGCAAGCCUGAUCCAGCCAUACCGCGUGGGUGAAGAAGGCCUUCGGGUUGUAAAGCCCUUUUGUGGGAAAGAAAUCCAGCUGGCUAAUACCUGGUUGGGAUGACGGUUACCAAAGAAUAAGCACCGGCUUAAACUUCGUGCCAGCAGCCGCCGGGUAAUACGAAGGGUGCAAGCGUUACUCGGAAUUACUGGGCGUUAAGCGUGCGUAAGUGGGCCGGUUAAGUCCGUG
rnacentral:rRNA from 1 species